UGACUCCGGUGGCAUAAUGGUUAGAGCGUCCGCCUCGGAUACAGGAGAUCGUGGGUUCGAAACCCGACGUAGUCAU